UAAGAUUUAACAUCAAUACAAGUGAUCUACAUUUAUAAACAUGAGGAGGACUCUCAUCGCAGUGGCGAAGGUACAGUACACAAGGGUACAGUGCAGGUACUGUCGGUUUUUACAUCAUGAGUAAGCCUCUUUGGUCACGCAAUUUUGUGGGACAUUUAUGCAAUGUAUAUCUGGUUAGAUGAUGAAGCCAUCGAUAUUAUUUUACAAUGUCGCGUCGGUUCGGUGACAUGUCGGACUACGCGUGUUGAGCGCGUGGUGUCCA
rnacentral:lncRNA from 1 species